UACGUAGGGUGCAAGCGUUGUCCGGAAUUAUUGGGCGUAAAGAGCUCGUAGGUGGUUUGGUAAGUCGGAUGUGAAAUCUCCAGGCUCAACCUGGAGGGGUCAUUCGAUACUGCCAUGACUAGAGGUCGGUAGGGGAGUGUGGAAUUCCCGGUGUAGCGGUGAAAUGCGCAGAUAUCGGGAGGAACACCCGUAGCGAAGGCGGCACUCUGGGCCGGAACUGACGCUGAGGAGCGAAAGCGUGGGGAGCAAACAGG
rnacentral:rRNA from 1 species